AAACUACAAGGGGAGCCGAAGCUCCCCCAGAAGUAGUUGCGUGCUCUAUUUUUAUUAUUGGUUUCGGGCUUCUUGUUUUUGUUGAUCGCCCUCGCCAUGAAGCUUCACCUUCAUGACACUCCCAAUCGGGAGUCAAGAGCAAACGGAUUGCUUUGGUCGCUGUGUUGCUGAUCUACGAUCCAACCAGUUCAGGCUCUGCCUUAGGGCAGUU
rnacentral:misc_RNA from 1 species